rnacentral:rRNA from 1 species
GCCGCGGGAAGGAAGAAGGCCUUCGGGUUGUAAAAUUCUUUUCGGGGGGAAGAGGAAGGACGGUACCCUCGGAAUAAGCGUCGGCUAACUACGUGCCAGCAGCCGCGGUAAGACGUAGGACGCGAGCGUUAUCCGGAUUUACUGGGCGUAAAGCGUCUGUAGGCGGAAAGACAAGUUGGGCGUGAAAGCUCCGGGCUCAACCCGGAAAGUGCGUUCAAUACUGUCUAUCUAGAGGAGGUCAAAGGGGAGUGGAAUUUCAGGUGUAGCGGUAAAAUGCGCAAAUAUCUGAAGGAACACCAGUGGCGAAGGCGGCUCCCUGGGGCCCACCUGACGCUGAAAGACAAAAGCUAGGGGAGCGAACAGGAUUAGAGACCUUGGUAGUCCUAGCCAUAAACGAUGGAUGCUAGGUGUGGGACCGAGAAGGUUCUGUGCCGGAGCAAACGCGAUAAGCAUCCCGCCUGGGGAAGUACGACCGCAAGGUUAAAAUUCAAACGAAUU